CAGUCGCCGCGGGAAUACAGAGGGUGCGAGCGUUAAUCGGAUUUACUGGGCGUAAAGCGCACGCAGGCGGUCUGACAAGUCAGAUGUGAAAUCCCCGGGCUUAACCUGGGAACUGCAUUUGAAACUGUCAGGCUGGAGUCUUGUAGAGGGGGGUGGAAUUCCAGGUGUAGCGGUGAAAUGCGUAGAGAUCUGGAGGAAUACCGGUGGCGAAGGCGGCCCCCUGGACAAAGACUGACGCUCAGGUGCGAAAGCGUGGGGAGCAAACAGGAUUAGAUACCCGCGUAGUCCCUGUCUCUUAUAC
rnacentral:rRNA from 1 species